GCAGAGAUGCACAGGGCAGAUGGGUGGGCACAAGAUCUCAGGCUGGAGGAGGAGGACAAGAGGCACCCACUAUGAAUAUUCUGUCCAACCGGACACUGACUUUCACAUUAUUUGACCUUUUGGCUCACGUGUUAAAUUCUGUCAUUUCCAGGCCCCAGGGAAAAUAAACUAAUCAAGACUACUUUAAUUUUUUAAAUAUGAAACCUGCGGAAAAUCAUGAAAAAUAGUAACACAAUUCCACCAUUUUCUACGAAAAAAUACUGAAAGGGUUAUUAACUUGAAUGUCCAAUAGACAGCUGAAUUAGAUAUGAAGUUGCAUAAAGAGAGUAGCCAAAUCAAAAUAUAUAAGUUUUAAAAGGCAAUAUCCAGGACUUCAAACAUGGAAAGAGUUACACGAGAGAAAAGAGGAUUUUGAGAGAUUGCUGCUUCAUUUGCAUGCUCAGCAAAACCUCACGGAGCACUGACGUUUUGAGUCAUCCCUCUAAUCAUCUAGCAUCCAACGCUCCUGAGUGUGGAAGGAGGUGAACAGGGAAAAGCAGAGAGGACAAAAGUCACAUCCCCUCCCCACAGACCCAUACUGGGGAAGGGUGGAAGAUUUAGCUGCGAGUCAAGUUCAGAAUUUUGAUUAACAUCUUGGCAUGCACAUUCGAAUUUCAGAAUCAAGACUGUUGGCCAUAAAAAAUGACUAUAGCCUUGUGUAUUACCUGAACUGAGCAGUAAAAAAAAAGUCAUGGUCCUUCUGGGGCUUUUAUUCUGAGACAGGAACCCUGAACAGGCAGGAGAAAGGGAAUGUUGACAGAGAAACAAAGACAGUUGGCGACACACGCUGACCGCCAUGCGGACGUCCAUCAAACCCAGCACUGGCCCUGGGUACGUGCGCCUUUGCUAUUACCCCAAUACAUUUUCUUCUGCAGAGCAAGCAACAGAACACAUGCAGACCUUAAUAAAUACCACUGGGUAAUGUGACAAUGGCCAAACUCUCCUCACGGGGGAGAGAGUGUCCCCCAGUUUUGCUCCCUUUUAAUUUCCAGGGUUCAUAAGUAGCUCUAAAGCUUUGCUCUACAAGGUUGAUACAUACGAUAUUAAUGUUUCCCCUAAGCAGUAUAACAUAAAUAUAUUUGCUAUCU
rnacentral:lncRNA from 1 species